CGGAGGGUGCAAGCGUUAUCCGGAAUCACUGGGUUUAAAGGGUGCGUAGGCGGUCUAGUAAGUCAGUAGUGAAAGGUUCCCGCUUAACGGGAGACGUGCUAACGAUACUGCUAGACUUGAACAUAGAUAAAGUGGGCGGAAUGCAUCAUGUAGCGGUGAAAUGCUUAGAUAUGAUGUAGAACACCGAAAGCGAAGGCAGCUCACAGUACUAUUGUUGACGCUGAGGCACGAAAGCGUGGGUAGCGAACAGGAUUAGAUACCCUGGUAGUCCACGCCCUAAACGAUGCUUACUGGAUGUUGGGUUGGAGUGAUUCAGCAUCUAAGGGAAACCAUUAAGUAAGCCACCUGGGGAGUACGCCCGCAAGGGUG
rnacentral:rRNA from 1 species